UACGGGGGGAGCAAGCGUUGUUCGGAUUUACUGGGCGUAAAGGGCGCGUAGGCGGUCGUGACAAGUCACUUGUGAAAUCUCCGGGCUUAACUCGGUAACGGUCAAGUGAUACUGUCGGACUAGAGUACAGAAGGGGCGAACUAGGGAAUUCUACGGGUUGUAGCGGUGAAAUGACGCAGAUAUCAGGAGGAACACCGGUGGCGAAGGCGGGUCUCUGGGCCGAAACUGACGCUGAGGAGCGAAA
rnacentral:rRNA from 1 species